UUGAGGUGUAACUCAGUGGUAGAGUAACUGGCUGUUAACCAGUAAGUCGUGGGUUCAAAUCCCACCUCCUCAGCCAU
rnacentral:tRNA from 1 species